rnacentral:lncRNA from 1 species
AUUAUAUACACUUAUAAUCAUCAGGAAGAACAAUCAGAGAGACAGACUGAAGAUUUUACUUUUUGUAUCUUUGCAUCUUUCUGCUUCUGCACAGUGAAAAAUAAACUUAUGAUAUGUUAAUGUGUAAUUGUAAACCUAUAUCAAUGAAGGAUGCCUUAAGUAGUUAUUAUAAACAAAAAAGAAAUAUUCUUAUCAGAAACCCAAUAGUGGGAAUAUUAACUGAGCUAGUGAUCAACUUCAAAGAAGACUGUCAUACCAAGAUUCAGAAGAAAAAUAAAAAUGUAUAAAAGAUACAUAGAUGAUAUUUGUGUAAUAUGGGAAAGGCAAGACAAUCCAAAAAUCCUAGAAGAAUGUAUGAAGGACAAUUCACUAGAACUCAAUUUAAAAUUGGAUCAGGCAAAUUCUAGAAAGUUACACUUUGUAGACAUUCAGAUUGGAGUGGAAGAGACUUCUUAUAUGACUAAAGUGUACUAUAAAUCAACCUAUUUGUCGUUGUUUAUACCGAGCAUAUCAACUGACAAACUGAUUCACAAAGUAUCAGCCUUUAGAACCCUAUAUAGAAGAUCCUUUACACACUGCAGCUACGAGAGCAGACAGAGACAAAAUAAAUAGGUAAAAUAUUCUCCUAAGGAAGAAAAAUAUAGGUAGUGUAAUCAGUUUCCUGAAUAAAAUGCUAUCAGGAACAAAAUGUUUGAACUCAGAAAAAAUCCCACUCACUGGUCAGGUAUAGUGUCUGAUAGUCAACAUUUCUGUGUUAACUUACAAACCAUUUAUAGAAACAUAGAAAAUGCUACAGGUGUUAAGAUAGCAUUCAAAAAGAAUAAUACCUUUUGUUUGGUAUUUAGGAUUGACACACACAUACUGCAAAUUCGCGAAUUCUAUCGACUCAAUAAUAACUACUUAAACCUAACGGUUAAACGAAUCUGCAAAAUCCAGAGUUCUGCCUGAG